GACGAACGCUGGCGGCGUGCUUAACACAUGCAAGUCGAACGGAAAGGCCCUGCUUUUGUGGGGUGCUCGAGUGGCGAACGGGUGAGUAACACGUGAGUAACCUGCCCUUGACUUUGGGAUAACUUCAGGAAACUGGGGCUAAUACCGGAUAGGAGCUCCUGCUGCAUGGUGGGGGUUGGAAAGUUUCGGCGGUUGGGGAUGGACUCGCGGCUUAUCAGCUUGUUGGUGGGGUAGUUGCGUACCAAGGCUUUGACGGGUAGCCGGCCUGAGGGGGGUAACCGCCAAAAUGGGAACUGAGAUACGGCCCGAAUACCUAGGGGGGCGAAAGGGGGGAAAGAUUGAACAAGGGACGAAGGCUGAAGGAGGAAAGGCGGCGGCGGGAAAAACGCCGUUAGGGUGGAAAACCACUUCGGCAUGUAACAAGGCUGGGUUGACGGAAAGGGUAAAAGAAAACCGGGGUAAAAACGG
rnacentral:rRNA from 1 species